rnacentral:rRNA from 1 species
UACGGAGGAUGCGAGCGUUAUCCGGAUUUAUUGGGUUUAAAGGGUGCGUAGGCGGAUCGUUAAGUCAGUGGUCAAAUUGAGGGGCUCAACCCCUUCCCGCCAUUGAAACUGGCGAUCUUGAGUGGAAGAGAAGUAUGCGGAAUGCGUGGUGUAGCGGUGAAAUGCAUAGAUAUAUGGAGGAACACCGGUGGCGAAAGCGGCUCUCUGGUCUGUAACUGACGCUGAGGCUCGAAAGCGUGGGUAGCGAACAGG